ACACUGCUUAGGAGUCCCACAAUAGGACGAAACGGCCGUCCAGUGC
rfam:Schistosoma rodhaini strain Burundi genome assembly, scaffold: SROB_scaffold0000565